rnacentral:rRNA from 1 species
GACGAACGCUGGCGGCGCGCUUAACACAUGCAAGUCGAACGGAAAGGCCCUGCUUUCGUGGGGUGCUCGAGUGGCGAACGGGUGAGUAACACGUGAGUAACCUGCCCUUGACUUUGGGAUAACUUCAGGAAACUGGGGCUAAUACCGGAUAGGAGCUCCUGCUGCAUGGUGGGGGUUGGAAAGUUUCGGCGGUUGGGGAUGGACUCGCGGCUUAUCAGCUUGUUGGUGGGGUAGUGGCUUACCAAGGCUUUGACGGGUAGCCGGCCUGAGAGGGUGACCGGCCACAUUGGGACUGAGAUACGGCCCAGACUCCUACGGGAGGCAGCAGUGGGGAAUAUUGCACAAUGGGCGGAAGCCUGAUGCAGCAACGCCGCGUGCGGGAUGACGGCCUUCGGGUUGUAAACCGCUUUCGCCUGUGACGAAGCGUGAGUGACGGUAAUGGGUAAAGAAGCACCGGCUAACUACGUG